CCUUGUAACUGAUGAAGAGGAUGAAACUGUGUCUGCUGCCUUUACAGAGGGGGAUUCAGAAAGGCAUACAGAGAGCAUGGCUGGGCAACAGCAGGACGGUCCCUCAACUUCCACUGCACAGAUGGACACAGUGAGAUGGAUGUUCAGUAAACACCAGAG